rnacentral:rRNA from 1 species
CCGCGGGAUUAGAGUUUGAUCCUGGCUCAGGACGAACGCUGGCGGCGCGCUUAACACAUGCAAGUCGAGCGAGAACCAGUCCUUCGGGACUGGGGACAGCGGCGAACGGGUGAGUAACACGUGGGUAAUCUGCCCUCGAUUCUGGGAUAGCCCGGGGAAACCCGGAUUAAUACCGGAUAGCCUCUCGAGCUUACGAGCUCGUGAGAAAAGGUAGCUUCGGCCUCCGAUCGAGGAUGAGCCCGCGGCGGAUUAGCUUGUUGGUGGGGUAAUGGCCUACCAAGGCGACGAUCCGUAGCUGGUCUGAGAGGACGAUCAGCCACACUGGGACUGAAACACGGCCCAGACUCCUACGGGAGGCAGCAGUGGGGAAUCUUGCGCAAUGGGCGAAAGCCUGACGCAGCGACGCCGCGUGGGGGAAGAAGGCCUUCGGGUUGUAAACCUCUUUCAGCAGGGACGAAGCCACUCGGGUUAAUAGCCCAGAGGGUGACGGUACCUGCAGAAGAAGCCCCGGCUAACUACGUGCCAGCAGCCGCGGUAAUACGUAGGGGGCAAGCGUUGUCCGGAUUUAUUGGGCGUAAAGAGCGUGUAGGCGGCCAGACAAGUCCGUUGUGAAAACUAGAGGCUUAACCUCUAGACGUCGAUGGAAACUGUUUGGCUAGAGUCCGGAAGAGGAGAAUGGAAUUCCUGGUGUAGCGGUGAAAUGCGCAGAUAUCAGGAAGAACACCCGUGGCUAAGGCGGUUCUCUAGUACGGUACUGACGCUGAGACGCGAAAGCGUGGGGAGCGAACAGGAUUAGAUACCCUGGUAGUCCACGCCGUAAACGAUGGGUGCUAGGUGGUGGGGGG